rnacentral:rRNA from 1 species
GACGAACGCUGGCGGCGUGCCUAAUACAUGCAAGUCGAGCGGACUUUCAAGAAGCUUGCUUUUUGAAAGUUAGCGGCGGACGGGUGAGUAACACGUGGGCAACCUGCCUGCAAGACGGGGAUAACUCCGGGAAACCGGGGCUAAUACCGGAUAAUAUCUUCCUUCGCAUGAAGGAAGGUUGAAAGGCGGCGCAAGCUGCCGCUUGCAGAUGGGCCCGCGGCGCAUUAGCUAGUUGGUGAGGUAACGGCUCACCAAGGCGACGAUGCGUAGCCGACCUGAGAGGGUGAUCGGCCACACUGGGACUGAGACACGGCCCAGACUCCUACGGGAGGCAGCAGUAGGGAAUCUUCCGCAAUAGACGAAAGUCUGACGGAACAACGCCGCGGGAGCGAAGAAGGUCUUCGGAUCGUAAAGCUCUGUUGUCAGGGAAGAACAAGUACCGUUCGAACAGGGCGGUACCUUGACGGUACCUGACCAGAAAGCCACGGCUAACUACGUG